UGGGGAAUUUUGGACAAUGGGCGAAAGCCUGAUCCAGCAAUGCCGCGUGUGUGAAGAAGGCCUUCGGGUUGUAAAGCACUUUUGUCCGGAAAGAAAUCCUUGGCUCUAAUACAGUCGGGGGAUGACGGUACCGGAAGAAUAAGCACCGGCUAACUACGUGCCAGCAGCCGCGGUAAUACGUAGGGUGCAAGCGUUAAUCGGAAUUACUGGGCGUAAAGCGUGCGCAGGCGGUUUGCUAAGACCGAUGUGAAAUCCCCGGGCUCAACCUGGGAACUGCAUUGGUGACUGGCAGGCUAGAGUAUGGCAGAGGGGGGUAGAAUUCCACGUGUAGCAGUGAAAUGCGUAGAGAUGUGGGGGAAUACCGAUGGCGAAGGCAGCCCCCUGGGCAAUACUGACGCUCAUGCACGAAAGCGUGGGGAGCAAACAGGAUUAGAUACCCUGGUAGUCCACGCCCUAAAACGAUGUCAACUAGUUGUUGGGGAUUCAUUUCAUUAGUAACGUAGCUAACGCGUGAAGUUGACCGCCUGGGGAGUACGGUCGCAAGAUUAAAACUCAAAGGAAUUGACGGGGUCAUAGCUGUUUCCU
rnacentral:rRNA from 1 species